GAAGAGAAGGGAGAGACUGAGGAAUGGUCUGAUCCAGGUCUUUAAGCUUCCUCUCGCUCAUUUGGAGGAGACAGUGCACAAAGCAGAAGAGAAGAUUAAGAAUCAAGAAGGAGUGCCACUCUUCAAUGUCCUCAGGGCAGCAGAGGAGCAGGUUCCUUUGGGGAGUGUUGGAUCGGUAUGAGCCAGCACCAUCAGAGGCUGUCUAUGUAUUACUUCUGAACCCUCUUUCACCUCAAUGAAGACAGAGCAAAUUGCAACUCACCAAACUCUUGUUUUCCCUGAGACCCGCUACCUGCAAAUGUAUGCUGCCUUUGACCUGCGAGCUGCUUCCUAGAUUUGCAUAUUAACCUUCCAGCAUCCACUGUAUUUGCUUCCAGCAAUAAUA